rnacentral:rRNA from 1 species
UACGUAGGGUGCGAGCGUUAAUCGGAAUUACUGGGCGUAAAGCGUGCGCAGGCGGUGGCUCAAGCCAGGCGUGAAAUCCCCGGGCUUAACCUGGGAAUGGCGUUUGGGACUGGGGUCGCUAGAGUGUGGCAGAGGGAGGUGGAAUUCCACGUGUAGCAGUGAAAUGCGUAGAGAUGUGGAGGAACACCGAUGGCGAAGGCAGCCUCCUGGGCCAGCACUGACGCUCAUGCACGAAAGCGUGGGGAGCAAACAGG